UAGGGAAUCCUCCACAAUGGACGCAAGUCUGAUGGAGCAACGCCGCGUGAGUGAAGAAGGCUUUCGGGUCGUAAAACUCUGUUAUUGAAGAAGAACGUGCGUGACAGUAACUGGUCAUGCAGUGACGGUAUUCAAUCAGAAAGUCACGGCUAACUACGUGCCAGCAGCCGCGGUAAUACGUAGGUGGCAAGCGUUGUCCGGAUUUAUUGGGCGUAAAGCGAGUGCAGGCGGUCUUUUAAGUCUGAUGUGAAAGCCUUCGGCUUAACCGAAGAAGGGCAUCGGAAACUGGGAGACUGUAGUGCAGAAGAGGAGAGUAGGA
rnacentral:rRNA from 1 species